UACGUAGGGCGCAAGCGUUGUCCGGAAUUAUUGGGCGUAAAGAGCUCGUAGGCGGUUUGUCGCGUCUGCUGUGAAAACCUAAGGCUCAACCUUGGGCUUGCAGUGGGUACGGGCAGACUAGAGUGCGGUAGGGGUGACUGGAAUUCCUGGUGUAGCGGUGGAAUGCGCAGAUAUCAGGAGGAACACCGAUGGCGAAAGCAGCUUUCUGGGACGGUACUGACGCUGAGACGCGAAAGCGUGGGGAGCGAACAGG
rnacentral:rRNA from 1 species